CCAAGUCCAUGCAACAGGGAGCUGCCACCACGGUGUACUGCGCAGCGGCUCCGGAGCUGGAGGGCCUGGGAGGGAUGUACUUCAACAACUGCUGCCGCUGCCUGCCCUCGCCAGAAGCCCAGAGCGAAGACACGGCCCGGGCGCUGUGGGCGCUCAGCGAGAGGCUGGUCCAGGAACGCGUCGGCGGGCAGUCCAGCUAGGAGCUGGGGCGACGAUGGCUCCCACGCCCCUGCACCUGUGCGGCACCACUGGCCAAUGCCAGCCCCUCCCACUUAGCAUCCUGGGGGCUUCCACGCCCCUCCAGCGCAGAUCCACAAAAGAAGCAAUUGCAACAGAGCGAAAAAUGUUAAGCACCAUGGGGAAGCAGGGAAUCGUCGCUUUUCUGGGGUCAGGGUGGGUGUGGGUCCCUUGCUUUCUGGUGGUGGCCUGAUGGGAGGGGAAAGCUUGAUGGGUGUGCAGUUCUUUCCCUCACUGUAGAAGCAUAGCAACUCACUCUCAGUUUUGGAACAGCCUGGUGUGUCCCCUUAUCCCACAGGGCCACCACCAUGGCCAUCAUUAUAGUCAGAGGCUGGCUUUCUCCUGCUUAGGGAAGAACAAGCAAAUGCCCAUCCUGUCAUGCUGCAGAGACCCAGGAAACAGUUAUUCAUUCCACCAAGUCUGAGGCAGCUUGACAACUUCCUGGAGAGAAUCUCAGAACCUGGGUCUAGCCAUCUGAAACGGGGACACCCAGAGACGCAGUGCAGUGGGCGGGGCUAGCGGGCAGAAGAGUGCCGGUCCUCCACUCCCUUGCCAAAGCUAUCCAAAAAAUUCUUUAGAGAUUAUAACCCAUUUUGCAAAUCAUUCCUUAGCUACCUAGAUGGGCAAGAUGGGAGGGAGCGUGUCCUCAGGGGUACAUGGAAUAUUCUUGGGGUGGGGAGUAAAAAUACUUCCCUCAUUCUUCCCUCGAGGGUUCCAGAACAGCCCAGUGGCUGGGUUUCCCGCCUGCUGCUGCUUCCUCCUGUUCCUCCCAUCCCAUGCUUAAUAAAAGAGCAUGCUUGGCUAUUUCACCUGAAGUUCGUUUAAAGUUUCUUUAAAAGUCCCUAUCGUCUCUUUAAAAGUCUGUGUCAGUUUUUUUUUUUGUUUUUGAAUUUUUUUUUUUUUAGAAAAGAAAUCUAGAGGAAAAAUAAAGCGCUUCUGUAGACGCCAGGAAGACACCAUUCUUGCUUCUUCUCUGAGUUCGUGUUGUGUUUUGUGCUUUGUGGCUGUCCAUGGGCCAAGUUGUCUCACGCGGUUAGCAUGCCAGCGUCGUAUUUUCUGUUAGAGAAAGAAAGAAAAAGAAAAGUGACUACCGUUUGAUUUCACCUGAAGAGGCUCUUUAUUACUUACGCAGGGUUACUGCAGCCCUGGGAGCUCGGCUUCCCGGUAGGCACCCAGCUCGUGGUGAUGGAGUGUCAAACCAAGGAGGUCAGCCAGGGACUCUUCCCUUUCCAUUGACCUGCCACACCCUUAAGACGUCCCCUAGGUCUCAGAGACCAAGUCUUCCUGCAUCCUCAAUCCACCCGACAGUCAUCUUGAGCUAGAUUCUGGGAAUUCAGAGUUUAGGUAAGGGAGUGAGGACAAGAGGAAGUCCACUCUGGCAUGAGGGAGAGAUGCUUUUACUGAAGUACUGAGACCCUGAGGGUGGCAUGUGUGUCCUGUCCCCCUUCCUGAAAACGGUAGUGUCAGUCUAGGCAGCACCAUGCAUCAAUCUCUGGGCCUCCACCCAGUGGGACAUCGUCGCUCUCCCCUAGCCCAGGCCUGGCUACUGCCUCGCGUCAGCUAUGCUGUCCCUCAGAAAAUCCUUAUUAUUCUAGGACCGUUAAAAGUACGAAUCGGAUAAUGUCACCUUCCUGACAUCCAGGUAACCCCACUUACAUGGGGUCAUCACAGAAGACCCAGCCCCAGCUGAGCCAGCCCAGAGAAGGAACGCCACAAUGAACCCACAAGAAGUGCAAAAAUUAAUGAAAUUGUUAUUGCAAGCCACUUAUUUUCAGGAUUGCGUGUUCUACAGCAAAAGCUAACCACUCCAACGUCCCGUUUCACUGAGCGAAGUCUGCAUUUUCCAGUGGUGGCCUGAGUUCUCUCAUGAGCUGGUCCUCGGGCACCUCUCUCCUCCCCGAUGGGCACCUCCCCUGCUCUGCUAGGAGCCGCGCUGGCUUCCUGUGUCCCUCCAGCAGGCCACCUGGGCCUUCUCCAGGUCUCUGUACACCUGUUAUCCCGGCUGAAAGCUUUCCUCCCGGAGGUCUGGAUGGCCUCCUCCAUCGCUGCUUCCUGAUCUCUGUUCAAGUGUGACCUGUGUCCAAAGAGGUGACAUUCCCAGCCACUCCACUUGCGCUGUCACCACAGUCAGCCUCCCCUGCCCUUAUUGUCAUAUGAAGACAAUACUCUUGGUCAUAUGACGAGUUUCUUCACUGCCCUUCUCCACCCUAUAUCAGAGACCCCAUGGCAUUUGUCUUCUUCAUAGUGUGGCCACGUGCCUUGAACUGCUCCUGGCACAUAGUAGGUUUCAUAAGUAACCUCCAGGGGAAGGAUCCUUCUUGCCCACCAACGUUUCUGUUCAUGAAAGUAAUUUCCACCAUUGUGACAACUGCGAGCUGCACACCUCGCCAAACUAGCCUCAGUGCCCCGUCUAAUUUCUAAGGUGACCGCGUCCUGCCAGGCGAUGCCCACUUCCUGUCUUACACCCGAAGACACUGAGGCCAAGAGGUUUCAGAGUUACCGCUGUCCACAUGGUGCACACGUCAGUAGAGCCGUGAUUCCUACCGUGGUGGUUCGAUGUCAAGGCCAGGCAGCUUCUCUGCACCAAAGCCACCAGUCCAACACAGGCCUCAAGUGUCCCUCUGGUAGGAUGCACCACCUAGAUGUCUCAGGCUGGGCAGAGAGGUGACUUUGCCGGUCUGACUCUAACUCGACCUGUCACCUUCGGCACCGGGGCAGAAGUCAGGACAAAGACGAUGCUGGAGCAGCAUCAGCAUCGGGGGUGUCCAGGAUGCCAAGGAGAAGCAAAGGGAGAGUGCUGGCCUCCUCCUCCUGUCACUGACUCCUGUGCGGACCUGCUUCAGGCUGAUGAGACGAGGCUGGGGGGACGGACCAGGGGAGAUGAGGAGCCCCACCUCAACAGUCCCCAAUUUCGUGUAGGCCAGGCCCUCACACAUUCCUUCACAUUUCCAUUCCACAAACGUGCCGAGGGCUACAUUCUGGAAAUUCAGUUCUGGGUAAAGCCCCGGAGUCCCUGCCGUAAAGACCUUAUAUCUUCCGUCUGCAGGAGUCCUCCCAAGACGCAAGGCCCUGGUCAUGUCUACAGAGCUCUCUAGGUACUUGAAGAUGAACGGAGGCCCUGGACAAUGGCCAGGCUUCCUCUCGUCCACUUCUUCCUGAGAUCAGUGUGACCAUUGCUGUGGGGCCAUUUCCCUCUGCUGGACAUAUCACUGUCAUUUCUUUGGCUAAUUCUGUCAGUGAUUUCUGGACACAUGAGCAAAUGUGCACGACAAUUUCUGUUUGAGCUCAUUCCAAGGCCAAGUCUGUCUUUCACCAUAUCAAAUGUACCUAGAUAUGUGAAUACAUAUAAAUUACUACUUAUUAUAAUAACAAUCCUACUCUGUCAUCACCAGUGCUACUAAUUGCCAGUAGUGUUUAUUGAGAAUCUACUCCGUGCCAGUUGAGAGUGUAGGCAAAUCACACUUACCUUUUCCCUGUGUGCUCAGAGGAUGAAACUGAGGGUCAGGGAGUCAGAGCGGCCUCCCCUCUGCCCCACAGCAGUGAAUAGUGGAGCCAGGAUUUGAGGCCAGCUCUGCCUGCCUCAAGCUGGUGUGCUUUCUGCUACCCUACGGGUGGCCCGGAGACAGCAGAAUGCACAUCAGGAGUGAAUUAUUCACAACGGAAGGCUGGUUGACUUCUUGCCUGAGGAGGGGACUCUGGCUGGUGCUCCUUCUGGUGGGUCGUGCCUGCUAUAAACGUGACAAACCACCUUGCACAUGCCAUUUAUCCGACGAUAUUGGCUCCAGCCCCCCGACCCCAGUGUUCCCCAGCAGACCCUCACACCUGGAUGGAUUGCCUAUGUCUGCCUCUGGCCUCUUUUCCUUCUAGUGGACACAGGUUCUGAGCUCUCCCAAUGCCACGGAAUCCACCAAACAGCACGAAGAGGCUGGGUCCUCCGUGGUCCUUCUCUUCUGAGUUCCCCUCUCUUCCUACGUUUCAUUAAACCCUAGAGGCAGCCGGUCUCCACUUUCACAUCUAAAUAAGAGGGACUUGCUGCAGUUUAUCAAUAGGAAACAAGAAAUGGAAGCGUCCCCUGGCAGAGGCUGUACCCUGUGGCUUGUGGCUUUUGCUCUUUAAAAUGAGGCGAUGGUUCAUUUUGUUUUGAACUUCAAUGAAGGAGGCCUGAUUCCUUUCAUCAAGGUCAAUGCUAAGCGAGAAAGCUUGGCUUGCACAAUUGCUGCCCAUUCUGGUCACCAGCGGUUACCCUUUUUUUAGAAGUUUACAUUAAAAAUAUCUCAAAUAGCAAUACCUACCCUGGGUAUCAACCUUGUGCCUUUCAACAUAGCCAAGCCGGUUUGGUUGAAGUCACUUUAGAAUGCUAAAUGACAUCAUGAAAUGUGAUCCACAGAAUCAUUGAAAAAAAAAAAAACACUCUGAAUUCUUGUGCCUAUUGAUGAAAUGAGGUAGCAACAAUAAACGUAAUUUUUAGAAAGAAAAAGAAAGACUCAUGUACUGCUGUACAUACAAUUUUGCAUUUAAAUGCUGCUUUUCAAGCCUUCAUGGUGUUUUUUUUUGGGGUCCUUCCCAUUGUUUCUCAAAACUUUCAAUUAUUUGAACAGAUGCCUAGUAUAUCGUGUUGGUGAUGUGCCACCAUUUGGAAACCCAGCCCUUGCCCACGACAUUUGGGUUAUUUCUAGGUUCUCUUGGUAGAACUAACAGUUUGCUUAGCAACUUUCUGCAGAUGAUUUUAGUCCCGUUAAUUUACCUCCUCGGCAACAUUGCAGAGGCUGGGAGCUCCCAACUGUUGGGAAGGGCCCCUCCUACCACUUCUGUUCCGUUUGUUUGUAACCUUGUCAACAUGGGGUGUUGACAUUUAUAUUUUUAAGCAUUUUAGCCCUGUACUGUCACAACCUCUAUCUAUUUACAUGUAAUACUCCCAAGCGGCCAGCCAACUUAUUUAAACCAUAAGCAUUUUGUCUUUUAUAUUCCCCCAGGACGAGUUCACAAUUUUAAUUAGUCUGGAAAUUCCGAGUGAGUUUACAGAGAGGGGGUUUUGGUAGGAAAACGCAGUCCACGGUGCUUCAACUUUGCUGGGCUACUUUUUCCAGCCACCAGCUGCAUCUCUACAUCAACUCAGCCGAAUGCAGCACAGGACGCAGACUCUCACCUGGGAGUCUCUGGUUCCUGCUGGCUCACGGACUGACCCCUGGUUGGGGCUCUCACCAGGCCCCUUCUUGGCCGCUGAUGUACCUGUGCCUUCAUGAAAAUGUGCCACGCCAAUCAGGAGAUUGUCUUGCUGCCAACUGAUCUGCUUGCAGGGCCGUCCCCGCUGCACCCUAGCUGUGAGGGAUAAAAGCUGUUUCCAAUUUUCAAAAUGGGAGGAAGCACCCAGCGCCUCUCUGCGUCACACAUUCACACGAGGCGGGGGCCCGUCUUCCUCUGGCCUUCCUGGUUUUAUCAGAGGCUCGAUUGGAGCUUGUCUCUCGACUUUGGAAUUGUGACAGUGUCUCUUGUUGGAUGCCAGACAUUGCAGAGGCUAAAAGUCCACUUCUGUAAAGUUCCAUUUCCUGAGUGUUUACCCAUAUUUUGUGCUUUCCUGCAGUGCUGCUGUCUUUAUGUAGUAGAGUCUCAUGACUUUGGAAGUCAACAUAAGUGUCCCCUUUUCACCACAGAGGAGGCCAUUCAAGCCUGAGACCACGGAUGCCCAGGAUUGUUACGUAAUUGUCUCUCUGCAAGUCCAUUCUGCAUCCCUGUGUGCCCUCCCUCCCUGCGCUCCCGGCCUUCCCUGCUUUACUUUCUAUUUCCAGACUUGUUUAGGCUUCUCCAAGGAUUCCGAAUUUACCUGACAGUGGCUUUCUCUUACAGGGAUUGGAGCUCUGGGGACAGGGAUGGAUCUGCCCAGCCUCUCUCAGCUUGGCUGAAACUAACUCAAGGAGUCUGAGACUUUAAAAACAGCACCACCGCCCGCUGAGCUGAAGGGCUCCCUUGAGAGGAAUCACUCCCGUCAAUAGAACUGUGUCUAAAAAAACCAGUCACAUCACUGGGCCAUCAUUGGGUACAUAACGCACUGAGUUUGAUGUGUCCACAAGUCCUCGUUCCCUUGGGAAGUACUCCCCUGAUCCCAGGCUCCUUGGUGUUCAUCCUCUCAUGUUCUGAUUCUGGUGUUUGACGUUUGGAGCUGUUAUCCUUGCAAAGGAGGCAUCCAAAGAAAAACGGGGGCUUCUGAUCCAACUGCCCACUGUGAUGGCCACACCUGCAUCUUUCAGGUGAUCUGAAGAGGAAAGCUCAGCUGUCUCCAGAGCCCUGAGAAGCCUCGGAACGUCAUCUCACCUCUUCGACACUUGCCAGGAUGAGGAAAUGAGAAUAAAACCACGGUUCCUCUUGCUCUGACCUUGAGCUACAAUUUACAUGAUGUCCGAGGUGCACUUCCCCAGGUGUGAAUCAGUCCUCAUUCUGGUGCCUGGGGGAGGCUGUACUUCUGAGCGGUGGCCCUACUAAAGCAUGUGAUUCCAUGAUGUUGAACACCAGGUUUGAGGUUCCUGCACAUUUCCUGUCUAUUUAUAGAGUCUGGGAUGCCAUCCAGCAAGUCUAUGGAUUGCAUCAACCAAAUAAUAAACUUGUUGGAGAAAUCCGUUCUGUGUCAAUUCCACUAACGUGGGCUUCAGCUCACCCCCGACCGCGCCCAGCUUGGCCUUACUUUACAGGGUGCUCAGCCAUCCUAAUUUGCCCAUGACCAGGGGUUUCCAGGACUUGGGACUUUGAAAGCUGAGCCUGGGACAUCCCAAGCAAACUGGAUGAUGAUUACCCUCACUCUAUUUUUCUGCAAUAAUGCUCUGGUUAUGUCAGCAUUGCCCAUCGUCGUGAUCAUUAUCAUUAUCAUCAUCAGAACAGUGACGAUUUCCAACCCCCAUUCAGCUAUGUGAUUCUCAGGCUGCACACAGGUAUUACAGGAAUCUGAAAGGACAGUUUUGUACACAUCAUUCCUUACUCCAGGGUGGACCAUGCCCAGGGGUCUACUCUCCAGUUUGCCAGUGUCCAAACAUCACCUUCAUCGGGACUAUUCUUCUUUCUUUCCAUGAGAAAAGGCUUCAUAUUUAAAGUUGUAUGUGUGUGUGUGUGUGUGUGUGUGUGUGUGUGUAGCAGAAGAGCCCUUUCUCGAAAUGAAAUAUUCCACAGAUGCCUAACUCCACAAAACCUUGAAGGUGAGUUGCUCUGGUCUAAAGGAGAACCGAGCAUCACUCCCAAGACAGCAUCUUUGGAAAGCUUACUGGUCUCCUCCAUGCUGGCCCGCAACAUCUGACGAUAUUGGAAUGAAAAAUUUAGUAAAUGAGAUAGCUAUGAUUCUACAAGGCAGAGUUGGCAAAUUUGUUCUGUAAUGGGCCGAGUGGUGAAGGUUUUAGGCUUCGUGGGUGCAUGGUCAGUGUCAAAUCCUUAGUUCUACCUUCACACAGAGCAGCAGGCCUAGACAGACACCAAAGAAGGCGUGUGGCCAGGUUCCAGGGAAACUGUUUAUGGACACAAACUUGGAUUUCACAUACUUUUCAUGUGUCACAAAAUAUCCUCCCCCGAAACCAUUAAAAAUUGUAAAAGUCUUUCUCAGCUAAUGAGCAUACAAAACAGGUUGAUUUGACUCCUGGGCUGUAGUUUGCUGACCCCUGCUCUACAGAGGUGUCCACAGCCUGGUUUUGAGUCUUGCCUCUGAGAGUUACUAUCUGCACAUUUGUGGGAAAGUCAUUUAAACUCUUAAGCCUCAUUUUCAUCCAUUGCAAAAGGGAGUAUAAAAGCCUCCGGGAACAGAGGGCUUCUAUGGGAACUCUUCCUUUCCCUUGAUUUUUCUGUGAACCUAAAGUUGCUCUACAAGAGAAAGUCUGUUUAAAAAUAAGUAAAAUCAAGUAAUAAAUUGAGAAUUGUUUUUCUGAGGACUAAAUGAGAGAAUAGAAAGUCUUAGCCCAGGGUGGACACUGUGCUGUUUAUACCCCGUCUCCAUGGAAGCUGUGGAAUGCCCCUUCAAAGUCCCACUCCUCAUUGUCCUUCAAACACCUGGGACCAUUGCAAGGCACAGCUCCGAAGCCAUGCGCCUUAGAGCUAGGAUCCUGGGUCAGUUUGGGCAGAGCUGACCAGAAUCAGCCAAUCAGACUCGCCAGGGUACACUCCUGUUCCCCUCCUGCUGCGAAGGCCCGGUGCUGGCUGAACUCCCGGACUCUUCCCUGGGUAAAAGCAUUACUUGCUUUUCUUCUGCAAUUUUUUCCAAGGAUACAAGCAGUGCUCAUUUAACAGCCUCCAUCAUUCUUCCCUUCAACUGCUGCGCUGGUUUCCCCGUUUUGGCACUGAGAUUCUUACACAAUCCCUCCUGCAGGCCCCUGGCCUCCCUCCUCCAACAGCCUCCUGGUGGGCGUGUGGGGAGGCUGAUAGCAUUUUCCUAUUCCUUCCUUCCUCUGAAGGAUCCGCUGAGCUUUCUCCUCACCCUUAUCUCUUUCUCCUUGACUUUGCAACAUGGAACACUUGCUGUCAUUCCUGGAGCAGGGGCUAUUUCCAGCCUGGCCAUCCCCAGCUCAUCCCCAUGGGCACACCCAGGGCUUUGGGCUCCCGUUUCUCCUGCUCUGAGACUUGUGAGGCUAUUUAAGGUCUCUUUAUAUUGUCAUCACCAAAGUAAUCCUACGGGUUCUUUCGUUUCUUUAAUUCCUCUUUGAUUUCUCAGCUCCACCAACUCAGUUGCUGGGUCCCCAGUCCUAGGUCCCUCCCAAAGCCGUUGGGACAUCUGUAACAUGCCUCAUCAAGCCUUUAAAAAGAACUGUCUACAUUUCACUUUCCUUACACUUCCAUUAUAAAUUAAUCCAUACGUCUGACUGAGGGUGCAGACAAGUCAAACACUGAGGAAAAUAACAAUAACCUUAUUCAAUAUUUUUUUGGAAUAAUUUUCCAUUGAAGGAUUUAGACAUGUUCUUGUGAUCAUCCUUUUAUUCUUUCUGUCGCUAUAUAGUAGUAGAUACUGAUAAAGUCACUCAGCAAAAGAGCAUUGAUAUUUUUCUUUGUUAUUACUGUCUGAGUGAACCUCACUUUAUGAUUUCAUAAUAUUCAAAUGAGGCAUUCUCUUAUGUUUUAUUUCAUCAUUUCUAUUUUAUUGAAAUGCGUUUCCAGUUUUUGCCAUUAUAAAUAAUACUCCGAGGGGCUGGGGAUGUGGCUCAAGCGGUAGCGCACUCGCCUGGCAUGUGUGCGUCCCGGGUUCGAUCCUCAGCACCACAUACAAACAAAAGAUGUUGU